CAUGUCUGCAUGUUGUCUAUUUUCUGGAGAGGAAGGCGGGCCUCUCACAAAGUGGGGAGGUUGAGCCAGUGCUGCAGAGGGGCCCCCAAAGCACCCCCCAGCUCUGCCAGGAUGUCUACUGGGGAUCAUGGAAGUGUAACAGGAAGGCUGCCGUCGUACAACGCUACGAGGACAGACAUGUCUACGCUCACUAGCUGUGUGUCAAGAAGCCUACGCACCUGGGCUGUUUCCAGGUCAUGUCUGGGAACACACGCAUAACACAGCCACACAGCACAGCAGGGAUCUCCACCUGGGCCCACAGAAACGGAGAUGCUGAGACACGGACCAAUCAUGUUCUCUUCCCCGUGAAUGUGGCACCGAAGAUCAGAAGGACAGGCAAAUCAAAAGGAAAGCCAAGGAAAGCUCGCAGUGUUCUCCUCCCUCAAAGGCCAAGCGUCUGCUGGCCCUGUUCGGUCUUGGCUGCCGACCACAGCAUGGCAUACUGGUGGAGAUUGAUGCCUGCGACAACGCAUCUUCAUGGAAAAUGGGUGUGAGGUGGCUGUGGUCCUGGGGAGCCCCUGGGGAAAUGGGCGCAAGGCAAAGAAAGCCGUGACCCGGGACAGCCGCGCGGGAAGCCGCUCAGGCCCUAGGGCUCAUGGGGCUCCUGGCGGACGCGGAGCCAGUAAGCACCCUUCCUGAGCGCCUCCGGGUGCCGGCCACUGCUCUGGCCAGCUCAUC